rnacentral:rRNA from 1 species
AGUUUGAUCCUGGCUCAGGAUGAACGCUAGCUACAGGCUUAACACAUGCAAGUCGAGGGGCAGCAUGAACUUAGCUUGCUAAGUUUGAUGGCGACCGGCGCACGGGUGAGUAACACGUAUCCAACCUGCCGAUGACUCGGGGAUAGCCUUUCGAAAGAAAGAUUAAUACCCGAUGGCAUAGUUCUUCCGCAUGGUGGAACUAUUAAAGAAUUUCGGUCAUCGAUGGGGAUGCGUUCCAUUAGGUUGUUGGCGGGGUAGCGGCCCACCAAGCCUUCGAUGGAUAGGGGUUCUGAGAGGAAGGUCCCCCACAUUGGAACUGAGACACGGUCCAAACUCCUACGGGAGGCAGCAGUGAGGAAUAUUGGUCAAUGGACGAGAGUCUGAACCAGCCAAGUAGCGUGAAGGAUGACUGCCCUAUGGGUUGUAAACUUCUUUUAUACGGGAAUAAAGUGAGGCACGUGUGCCUUUUUGUAUGUACCGUAUGAAUAAGGAUCGGCUAACUCCGUGCCAGCAGCCGCGGUAAUACGGAGGAUCCGAGCGUUAUCCGGAUUUAUUGAGUUUAAAGGGAGCGUAGGCGGACGCUUAAGUCAGUUGUGAAAGUUUGCGGCUCAACCGUAAAAUUGCAGUUGAUACUGGGUGUCUUGAGUACAGUAGAGGCAGGCGGAAUUCGUGGUGUAGCGGUGAAAUGCUUAGAUAUCACGAAGAACUCCGAUUGCGAAGGCAGCUUGCUGGACUGUAACUGACGCUGAUGCUCGAAAGUGUGGGUAUCAAACAGGAUUAGAUACCCUGGUAGUCCACACAGUAAACGAUGAAUACUCGCUGUUUGCGAUAUACAGUAAGCGGCCAAGCGAAAGCGUUAAGUAUUCCACCUGGGGAGUACGCCGGCAACGGUGAAACUCAAAGGAAUUGACGGGGGCCCGCACAAGCGGAGGAACAUGUGGUUUAAUUCGAUGAUACGCGAGGAACCUUACCCGGGCUUGAAUUGCAACUGAAUGAUGUGGAGACAUGUCAGCCGCAAGGCAGUUGUGAAGGUGCUGCAUGGUUGUCGUCAGCUCGUGCCGUGAGGUGUCGGCUUAAGUGCCAUAACGAGCGCAACCCUUAUCGAUAGUUACCAUCAGGUUAUGCUGGGGACUCUGUCGAGACUGCCGUCGUAAGAUGUGAGGAAGGUGGA